UGGGGAAUAUUGCGCAAUGGGCGAAAGCCUGACGCAGCAACGCCGCGUGAGUGAUGAAGGCCUUCGGGUCGUAAAGCUCUGUCGGAGGGAACGAAUGCUCCUGAAGUUAACAGCUUCAGGAAGUGACGAUACCCUCAAAGGAAGCACCGGCUAACUCUGUGCCAGCAGCCGCGGUAAUACAGAGGGUGCAAGCGUUAAUCGGAAUUACUGGGCGUAAAGCGCGCGUAGGCGGCUUUGUAAGUCGGAUGUGAAAUCCCCGGGCUUAACCUGGGAACUGCGUUUGAAACUGAGGGGCUAGAGUGUGGAAGAGGGGGGUGGAAUUCCAGGUGUAGCAGUGAAAUGCGUAGAGAUCUGGAGGAACACCGAUGGCGAAGGCAGCCCCCUGGGCUAACACUGACGCUCAUGCACGAAAGCGUGGGGAGCAAACAGGAUUAGAUACCCACGUAGUCCCUGAGCGGGCUGGCAAGGCGCAU
rnacentral:rRNA from 1 species